GCAGUCGCCACGGUAAUACGGAGGGGGCUAGCGUUGUUCGGAAUUACUGGGCGUAAAGCGCACGUAGGCGGCUUGGUAAGUUAGAGGUGAAAGCCCGGAGCUCAACUCCGGAAUUGCCUUUAAGACUGCCGAGCUAGUAGGUGAGAGAGGUAAGUGGAAUUCCGAGUGUAGAGGUGAAAUUCGUAGAUAUUCGGAAGAACACCAGUGGCGAAGGCGGCUUACUGGCUCAUUCUAGACGCUGAGGUGCGAAAGCGUGGGGAGCAAACAGGAUUAGAGACCCCAGUAGUCCCUGUCUCUUAUAC
rnacentral:rRNA from 1 species